rnacentral:lncRNA from 1 species
GUCAUUUGUUCUUCCGCCAGCGCCCAUCGUGAAGACCACAGUUUCCUGUCGCGUGGAUGUGUUUCCUCUCUGGCCAUUGCCAUCCGCCCAAAUCUACAGACAUCCCGCAUGUUCCCGGGCUCGUCUCCCCAAUACAGGGCACCAAGGCUGUAGACUGCGCAGCCCUCCUGGAGACAGAUGGAAGCUCCUUGGGUCGACAGAUUACAGCUUCUGGAACCCCCUACUCCCUUCAACUCCGAGAUGGACACCCACUGUCCAGGGAGAGGAUGCCUGGAAAUAACAGCUGGGAUCUACAGUGGCCAAAGAGUUGUCUCCGUCUUGCUACAUCGACAAACUGGUGCUCCUGAGUGAGGAUUGUGCCCUGGGAUGGGGGAUUCAGUUUCUUCAUUUAUAGUUGGAAGUGGGUGAAGCCACUUCGGAAGCGUUUUCCUCUCCACUCUGACAACAGGCAAGAGUGAGGGUCCAACAAUACAGAGGAAGUAACGUGUCGCUGCUACUCUUCCAUGCCCAGUGCCAGGAGCGACGGUACACUCCAGAGUGCUGUGCCCUGAUGGGCCUUUGAGUGGCCAGUGCAGUGGAUCAUCAGCCCUGUCUCCCAAGAGCUCCAGUCCCUUCUCCGGAGAGGAAGUGGGUCCACUGGCAGCUCAGGAGGCCAUAGCAGGUAAGUCAUACACUUGCUACUGUUCAGAGGCCUCAUCAAGAGAUUGGAGUUUGAGAGAAUGUAAGGAUGGCUCUGUCCAGUCUGGAGCCCCAGCCUUUGAGUCCCUAGAGUUUCCUGUAGUAUUUUCUGCCUCUUUGGGGGCGGGGAAGAUGAGUGGGGAGUGGUGUGUGGAUCCUCCCACCUAGGUCGUGCAUGGGUAAGUGUGAGGCCUUUCCAGUGUUAGUGAAUUGUAAGGGCAAGGGAGUGGACGUAGGCAUUGAAGACACUUGUAUAUGCCACGGUCUCCCUCUUUUUGUCAUUGUGUUGGGUAGCAGUGACUUGUUAGCAGUGGAGGGAAAAGUCAUAGUUGAACGAUGGAGAGUUAGGGUGGUCCGGAGCACCUAUCUGCUCUGGCUCUUUGAGGCCCCUCCCUUCCCGUUCAUUCUUCUGCCAGUGGCAGAAGUGCACCCACGUGUGUGCCUUGCUUCUGCCCUGGAAAGCUGGGCCUCAGCCUAGACAUCAGGUGACUAGCUGUUACCUAGCUAGUCCCCAGAUUCCACCUUAAUUAAGCAGCCUUACCUGUUUUGAUCUUCCAUUUCCUGACUUGGAAAACUAAAGCUAAGACAAAGGUUUUUCAGGACUGACUCCCCCUUCUUCUUGGCAGAUUGUGGGGCUCUGUGCAGUUGAUGUUAGUUAACCACUGGAUCCACGUGUUCACCGUGGCUUGCGCCCCUGCAUCCGAAAGUGAUCUUGGCUGCCGUGUCCUGGUCAUUGGUAGUGCAGGGAAAGGAUGCGGAAAGACGGGCUCCGAGCUCGGGGCGUCUGGCCUGGAGCUUUCCUACACUUGUGUCUUGCUCUGCAGCCUUACGGAAGUGUGGGUGGCGCUUUCUGGAAGCUGCACAAGUCAGUGCUGGGUCUUCGCAACUUGGUGUUCUGUUUCCAGAAACUUGGGGUGUUUGCAUGUGCUAGGUCAGCACAGAUUUCCAAAGGAUCUCUAGGAUUGUCACGUGUGCUCAACAGUCCUCCUCGGCUUUCCAGAAGAGGCUGGAACAGGGCCCUUGAAGAUGUUUGUGGACAUCAGAGGGCCAAAGACGACACAAAGUGAAACUGGAGACACCGCCCCCCCUUGGCAUCAUGAAACUGCCGAUGUUACUGGCUCAUGCAUGGGAGACACCAGCAUACAAAGUCUUGACACCAACACCUCAGAGGGCUGUGUUCUGUCCCCGUGACCAUCAUCUAGUGCCUGGAAAGACUAGUGACAAGAACUUGUUGCCAACUUCCUAUUACCUCCCUAACAGUUGUGCAAUAAACCCCAUAGGUUAAUUCAGUCUGCCUUUUAAA